rnacentral:lncRNA from 1 species
AGGAAUUGGGGCUUGAAUGUCCUUGCUUUGACUGCGCCUCUGCCCUCCCGAAAGGACCCUUCGGAUGUUUAUUCACUUCACCUCGUAGGCGCACCACAGGAGGAAGACGUGGUGUCAGCAGACCCGAGAAUCCAGUCCACGUGAUAAUCAUAUUUCUCACGGAUGGUUUCAUCCAUACCGCUAGAUCAUUGAAUUGUCACCGUUAGACAUCACCUGUUAACUCCAGUUAAGGUAGGCAAUGUUUUAGCUCUGUAUACCUUCUCAGCCCUUCUUCCUUCCCACAACAUAGUGACAUAACUAUUUUUUAAUUUAUCUUACUUUAGUGAAAAUACGUAAACCCCUCUUUCUUGUUUUGUCAACUCUGAUUUCUCACUUUCUAAGUUAAGGAUAUCAGAUAGACCUCUGCUCCUCUGCUGUUCUCUCGGC